GUUGUAAUUCAACUACAAGAACACUUA
rnacentral:tRNA from 1 species